AGAAGAUGCUUAGAACUAAGGUAUGUGGCCAUGAUGGCGAUGCUACUGUGUGUGUGCGUAUAUGUGUGUGUGUGUGUGUGUGUGUGUUGCUUGUUGCUCCUAGCAGGUGAGACAGCUUGUACUACAGAGAAAACAGGACAUAUUUGGGAAGAGUGGAGGGCCAUGCCAGCUAGUAUUUGCUGAGUUUUGCCUUACAGUGGACUCAUCUGAAAGAUGACCAACCAUGGAGGCACAGUUAUAACACCAGCACUGUAGAGAGAGAGGCAGGAGGAUUGCCACAGUUGGUUUCAUAUCAAGUCCUUGCCGCAGGUAAAAGUGUAAACCAAACUAAAAUCUAAAUAGCUGCCGUGGCUAAUGACUGCCAUACUGGACGGUACAGGUCUGGAGUGUAGCAUGGUGAAGGUGACAUGACUGGGGCGGGCCUCUGGGCUGCAUGAGGUUGUUGUAUGAAGUUUGGGUUUUAUUUUUAGUGCUAUGAAAAAGUGGCUUGGAGGUGGGGGUGACAUUAAUUAAUUAAUUUUUGUUAUUUAGUUUUUCUUUGAUUACUGAUACUGGGGGUCAAACACAGGGCCUUACAUAUGCCACUAAGUCUACCAUUAAAGCUAAACGCUGGCCCCUGGUUUAUAUUUUUAGCAGACCACCUUAGUUGGUAUAAGAAUGGGGUGUGACGUAUGAGUGUAGCAGCGGAGAAGCAGGGGGACCGGUUUGGUAGAACAUUCUCACGGGAGAGAAAUUAGUGCUUUGGACCAAUCAAACAAAAUUUGGGAUGUGGAGCAAGGACAGAGGUCUUCCGGCGAAAAAGAGAGGGAGAGCUGGUCCUUGUUCUCCCUGGCAGUGCCGGGGCUGUACAAUUUCAGCCAUUCCUGUUGGCCACACGGUUGCCACCUGCUGGCUGUUUCUGGAAGUGCCCUUGUAAAUGGAUACUCGGGGGAUCCCUGGGGUCAGGACGCUGAGCGAAUCUUCCUUAGAUGGAAAUAAUGGCUGGAUGGGUUGGGCUGCAUUCUCUGGGGCAAAUGCUAGACUGAACCUCUUCUCUCUCUGGGGCUAUCCCAUUCUUCUCUCCCUUGGGUCGGACAGUGAUGAACCAAAUGGCCGGGGGAGGGCACACGGUGUUAAGAAUCAGGAGGGGUGGGCGUCAGUGUUUUAGGGCAUGAAUCCCACACCUGUGCCAGCUUCCACCCAAGCCUAGGUCCCACCACCC
rnacentral:lncRNA from 1 species